rnacentral:rRNA from 1 species
GACGAACGCUGGCGGCGUGCCUAACACAUGCAAGUCGAGCGGAGAUAAUAGCAAUAUUAUCUUAGCGGCGGACGGGUGAGUAACGCGUGGGUAACCUACCUUUUACAGGGGGAUAACACAGGGAAACUUGUGCUAAUACCGCAUAACAUACCGAUAUGGCAUCAUAAUGGUAUCAAAGGAGCAAUCCGGUAGAAGAUGGACCCGCGUCCGAUUAGCUAGUUGGGAGUGAAAAAGACUACCAAGGCGACGAUCGGUAGCCGAAUCUGAGAGGUUGAUCGGCCACAUUGGGACUGAGACACGGCCCAGACUCCUACGGGAGGCAGCAGUGGGGAAUAUUGCGCAAUGGGGGAAACCCUGACGCAGCAACGCCGCGUGAAGGAUGAAGGUUUUCGGAUUGUAAACUUCUUUAGUCGGGGACGAAUAAUGACGGUACCCGAAGAAUAAGCCACGGCUAACUACGUGCCAGCAGCCGCCGUAA